AACGAACGCUGGCGGCAUGCCUAACACAUGCAAGUCGAACGAGACCUUCGGGUCUAGUGGCGCACGGGUGCGUAACGCGUGGGAACCUGCCCUUAGGUUCGGAAUAACUCCCCGAAAGGGGUGCUAAUACCGGAGAAUGUCUUCGGACCAAAGAUUUAUCGCCUUUGGAUGGGCCCGCGUUGGAUUAGCUAGUUGGUAGGGUAAAAGCCUACCAAGGCGACGAUCCAUAGCUGGUCUGAGAGGAUGAUCAGCUACACUGGGACUGAGACACGGCCCAGACUCCUACGGGAGGCAGCAGUGGGGAAUAUUGGACAAUGGGCGAAAGCCUGAUCCAGCCAUGCCGCGUGAGUGAUGAAGGCCUUAGGGUUGUAAAGCUCUUUUACCCGGGAUGAUAAUGACAGUACCGGGAGAAUAAGCUCCGGCUAACUCCGUG
rnacentral:rRNA from 1 species